GCUGGGCAUGGUGGCGCGUGCCUGUAAUCCCAGCUACUCAGGAGGCUGAGGCAGGAGAAUUGCUUGAACCCAGGAGGCGGAGGUUGCGGUGGGCCGAGAUCACGCCAUUGCACUCCAGCCUGAGUAACAAGAGUGAAACUCCGUCUCAAGAAAAGACAGAGUCUUGCUCUGUGGCCCAGGUUGGAGUGCAGUGGCAUGAUAUGGGCUCACUGUAACCUCCACCUCCUAGGUUCAAGCAAUUCUUCUGCCUCAGU
rnacentral:SRP_RNA from 1 species